rnacentral:rRNA from 1 species
ACGCUCGACACCUACGUGAGGCAGCAGUGAGGAAUAUUGGUCAAUGGGCGCUAGCCUGAACCAGCCAAGUAGCGUGAAGGAUGAAGGCUCUAUGGGUCGUAAACUUCUUUUAUAUAAGAAUAAAGUGCAGUAUGUAUACUGUUUUGUAUGUAUUAUAUGAAUAAGGAUCGGCUAACUCCGUGCCAGCAGCCGCGGUAAUCUGAGGCGGGCUGGCAAGGC